rnacentral:rRNA from 1 species
UACGUAGGGGGCAAGCGUUGUCCGGAUUUAUUGGGCGUAAAGAGCGUGUAGGCGGCUAGAUAGGUCCGUUGUGAAAACUCGAGGCUCAACUUCGAGCUGUCGGUGGAAACUUUCUGGCUAGAGUCCGGAAGAGGAGAAUGGAAUUCCUGGUGUAGCGGUGAAAUGCGCAGAUAUCAGGAAGAACACCCGUGGCGAAGGCGGUUCUCUGGGACGGUACUGACGCUGAGACGCGAAAGCGUGGGGAGCGAACAGG